rnacentral:rRNA from 1 species
AAACCAUUUUUCCCCCUAAGUCUAGGCGAUAAAAAAGGAAAUCCGGAGCAAUAGAAAAAGUACCGCAAGGGAAAGCUGAAAGAGAGAUGAAACAGCCCAGUUGAAGCUUAACAAAGCAGAGAUCAAAACUCGUACCUUUUGCAUCAUGAUUUAGCUAGAACCUUCAAGCAAAGAGAACUGGGAGUUUGAACCCCCGAAACUGGGUGAGCUACUCCAAGACAGCCUUUACUGUAGGGCAAACCCGUCUCUGUGGCAAAAGAGUGGGAAGAACUUUGAGUAGAAGUGACAGACUUACCGAACCCAGUAAUAGCUGGUUGCUCGUGAAUUGGAUAGAAGUUCAGCCCCCAACACUUUUUCCUUAGCCACAGUCACGGGUCACCCCGUAUUUAUUUUGGACAAAAAGAAAACUUGGGAGGUUAGUCAAAGGGGGUACAGCCCCUUUGAAACAAGAUACAACUUUUGCAGACGGAUAAAGAUCAUAUUUACCAAGGGUAAAUGUUCUAGUGGGCCUGAAAGCAGCCACCUUAAAUAACAGCGUUAAAGCUCAAACAUGAACCCCGCCCCCCAAUACCGAUACCACCUCUAAACCCCCUAACACCUAACGAGCCGCCCCAUGCGCACAUGGGGACGACCAUGCUAAUAUGAGUAAUAAGAGGGUAUUUAAAACUCUCUCCCUGCACGAGUGUAAGUCGGAUCGGACCUACCACCGAGCAUUAACGGCCCCAAUCAAAGAGGGCACUGGAAGUCUCCACCAACUGACUAGAAGAGCAUCCAGCAUACUCCCGUUACCCCCACACUGGUGUGCGUCCUGGGAAAGACUAACCGGGGAAGAAGGAACUCGGCAAAUAUACCUAAAGCCUCGCCUGUUUACCAAAAACAUCGCCUCUUGCAAACCGCAGUAUAAGAGGUCCUGCCUGCCCAGUGACAAAUUGUUCAACGCCGCGGUAUUUUGCCGUGCUAAGGGUAGCGUAAUCACUUGUCUUUUAAAUGAAGACCCGUAUGAAUGGCAAAACGAGGGCUUAACUGUCUCCUUUCCCAAGUCAAUGAAAUUGAUCUCCCCGUGCAGAAGCGGGGAUAACACCAUAAGACGAGAAGACCCUAUGGAGCUUUAGACAAACGACUGAACCGUAUUCCCUGGCCCCUUCUCACAGGAACUAAAUUUAAUGGACCCUCUUUCAAUGUCUUCGGUUGGGGCGACCAUGGGGAAAACAAAACCCCCAAGUGGAAUAGGGGUAACGAAAACGUCGAUUACACCCCUUAAGGUAGAGCGACAGCUCAACACAACAGAAAUUCUGACCAAAAUGAUCCGGACAUUCCGAUCAACGAACCAAGUUACCCUAGGGAUAACAGCGCAAU